rnacentral:rRNA from 1 species
AGUGGCGGACGGGUGAGUAACGCGUGGGUAACCUGCCUCACACUGGGGGAGUAACAGUUAGAAAUAGCUGCUAAUACCGCAUAAGCGCACAGUUCCGCAUGGAACAGUGUGAAAAACUCCGGUGGUGUGAGAUGGACCCGCGUCUGAUUAGCCAGUUGGCGGGGUAACGGCCCACCAAGGCAACGAUCAGUAGCCGGCCUGAGAGGGUGAACGGCCACAUUGGGACUGAGACACGGCCCAAACUCCUACGGGAGGCAGCAUG